rnacentral:rRNA from 1 species
UCGAUGGAGAGUUUGAUCCUGGCUCAGGACGAACGCUGGCGGCGCGCUUCAUCCAUGCAAGUCGAACGAACCCGAGACUUCGGUCUCAAUGGGAAAGUGGCGAACGGGUGAGUAACACGUGAGAAACCUACCCCGGAGAUGGGAAUAGCCCAGGGAAACCUGGAUUAAUACCCGAUAUCCUGCCUGCACCUCAUGGUGCGUUCAGGAAACGCUCCGGUGCUCCGGGAGGGUCUCGCGGCCUAUCAGCUUGUUGGUGAGGUAACGGCUCACCAAGGCAUCGACGGGUAGCUGGUCUGAGAGGACGAUCAGCCACACUGGGACUGAGACACGGCCCAGACUCCUACGGGAGGCAGCAGGAGGGAAUAUUGCGCAAUGGGCGAAAGCCUGACGCAGCGACGCCGCGUGGGGGAAGAAGGCC